GAUUGAAAACUUUGGUUGGCCCAAAAUUUGUUUUUUUUUUCAAAUUUUUGUUGGCGUUUUCUGGGACAGUAUUUCAAAAUCUAAUAAUUUCUUUCGUUGGAAAUAUUUUUCUUGGUGAAGAUUCUCGGCGAAUUCGGCAAAUCGGCAAAUUUGUCGCACACCCCUGAUGUAGAAAUAAGCUAGGCCCGUAACUAAGCAUCCCGUUGGUAUGACCAUCUAUAAAGCCGGUAUAUGAUAGCCAUCAAUUCUAUCUUCUUCCUACUCAUCAUUCUCGCCUGGAUUCCAAAUUUUGGAAGUUCUCAGGAUAAUGAGGCUCUUGGAGAGCUAACAGGAGCUAUGUUGUCGCUAAGAGGCUUGGCACAGAGUGAAGAGAAUUUUAAAAAGGUGUUCCAAGAGUUUGACGAAGACGGAAAUGGCUUCAUCUCUGUUGCUGAACUGGAACCCCUCUUCAGCAACUUUCAAGCACGGCUGUCUGCCGAAGGGAUUCGCAAAACUUUCCGUUACACCGAUAUCGACAGAAAUGGUCAAGUUGAUUUAGAUGAGCUCAUCGAUGUAACCAGAGCUGUAAAUCCUUCUCUUUAG